GACGAACGCUGGCGGCGUGCUUAACACAUGCAAGUCGAACGGAAAGGCCCUUCCGUGGUUGCAUGCUCGGCGGACGAACGAGUGAGUAACACGUAAGUAACCUGCCCUUGACUUUGGGAUAACUUCAGGAAACUGGAGUUCAUACCGGAAAUGAGCCCCUCCUGCAUGGUGGUGGUUGGAAAGUUUCGGCGGGUGGGGAUGGUCUCGCGGUUUAUCAGCUUGUUGGUGGGGUUGUGGCUUACCAAGGCUUUGACGGGUAGCCGGCCUGAGAGGGUGACCGGCCACAUUGGGACUGAGAUACGGCCCAGACUCCUACGGGAGGCAGCAGUGGGGAAUAUUGCACAAUGGGCGGAAGCCUGAUGCAGCAACGCCGCGUGAGGGAUGACGGCCUUCGGGUUGUAAACCGCUUUCGCCUGUGACGAAGCGUGAGUGACGGUAAUGGGUAAAGAAGCACCGGCUAACUACGUG
rnacentral:rRNA from 1 species